UACGGAGGGGGCAAGCGUUAUCCGGAUUCACUGGGUUUAAAGGGUGCGUAGGUGGGCAGGUAAGUCAGUGGUGAAAUCUCCGGGCUUAACCCGGAAACUGCCGUUGAUACUAUCUGUCUUGAAUAUAGUGGAGGUGAGCGGAAUAUGUCAUGUAGCGGUGAAAUGCUUAGAUAUGACAUAGAACACCCAUUGCGAAGGCAGCUCGCUACACUAUCAUUGACACUGAGGCACGAAAGCGUGGGGAUCAAACAGG
rnacentral:rRNA from 1 species